UGGGGAAUUUUGGACAAUGGGCGCAAGCCUGACCCAGCCAUGCCGCGUGCGGGAAGAAGGCCUUCGGGUUGUAAACCGCUUUUGUCAGGGAAGAAAUCUUCUGAGUUAAUACCUCGGGAGGAUGACGGUACCUGAAGAAUAAGCACCGGCUAACUACGUGCCAGCAGCCGCGGUAAUACGUAGGGUGCAAGCGUUAAUCGGAAUUACUGGGCGUAAAGCGUGCGCAGGCGGUUUUGUAAGACAGAGGUGAAAUCCCCGGGCUCAACCUGGGAACUGCCUUUGUGACUGCAAGGCUUGAGUGCGGCAGAGGGGGAUGGAAUUCCGCGUGUAGCAGUGAAAUGCGUAGAUAUGCGGAGGAACACCGAUGGCGAAGGCAAUCCCCUGGGCCUGCACUGACGCUCAUGCACGAAAGCGUGGGGAGCAAAACAGGAUUAGAUAGCCCUGGUAGUCCACGCCCUAAAACGAUGUCAACUGGUUGUUGGGAAGGUUCCUUCUCAGUAACGUAGCUAACGCGUGAAGUUGACCGCCUGGGGAGUACGGCCGCAAGGUUGAAA
rnacentral:rRNA from 1 species